rnacentral:sRNA from 1 species
UAAUGGACUUUCCCUUUCUGCCUCCAAA